rnacentral:rRNA from 1 species
UAGGGAAUAUUGGUCAAUGGGCGCAAGCCUGAACCAGCCAUGCCGCGUGCAGGAAGAAGGCCAUAGAGGUUGUAAACUGCUUUUAUAGGAGAACAAACGAUUUUUUAUAGAAUCUAUGAGUGUAUCCUAAGAAUAAGCACCGGCUAACUCCGUGCCAGCAGCCGCGGUAAUACGGAGGGUGCCAGCGUUGUCCGGAUUUAUUGGGUUUAAAGGGUGUGUAGGCUGCUAACUAAGUCAGGGGUGAAAUCCUAGAGCUUAACUCUAGAACUGCCUUUGAAACUAUUUAGCUUGAGUAAUGGAUAGGUAAGGAGAAUUUAUGGUGGAGCGGUGAAAUGCAUAGAUACCAUAAGGAAUACCGAUAGCGAAGGCACCUUACUGGCCUUUUACUGACGCUGAGACACGAAAGCGUGGUUAGCGAACAGGAUUAGAUACCCCCGUAGUCC